rnacentral:rRNA from 1 species
UACCAGCUCUCCGAGUGGUAGGGAUGUUUAUUGGGCUCAAAGCGUCCGUAGCCGGCUUAGCAAGUCUCCUGUUAAAUUCAGCGACCUAAUCGUUGAGCCGCGGGAGAUACUACUAGGCUAGGAGGCGGGAGAGGUCAACGGUACUUCCGGGGUAGGGGUGAAAUCCUAUAAUCCCGGGAGGACCACCAGUGGCGAAGGCUGUUGACUAGAACGCGCUCGACGGUGAGGGACGAAAGCUGGGGGAGCGAACCGGAUUAGAUACCCGGGUAGUCCCAGCUGUAAACGAUGCGAGCUAGGUGUUGGGGUGGCUACGUGCCACUUCAGUGCCGCAGGGAAGCCAUUAAGCUCGCCGCCUGGGGAGUACGGCCGCAAGGCUGAAACUUAAAGGAAUUGGCGGGGGAGCACCACAAGGCGUGAAGCUUGCGGUUC